rnacentral:rRNA from 1 species
UGGGGAAUCUUGCGCAAUGGGCGAAAGCCUGACGCAGCGACGCCGCGUGUGGGAUGACGGCCUUCGGGUUGUAAACCACUGUCGGGAGGGACGAAGCUCUGACGGUACCUCCAAAGGAAGCACCGGCUAACUCUGUGCCAGCAGCCGCGGUAAUACAGAGGGUGCGAGCGUUGUCCGGAAUCACUGGGCGUAAAGGGCGCGUAGGCGGCCUGAUAAGUCGGGGGUGAAAUCCUGUGGCUCAACCACAGGGCUGCCUCCGAGACUGUCGGGCUCGAGCACAGUAGAGGCAGGUGGAAUUCCCGGUGUAGCGGUGGAAUGCGUAGAGAUCGGGAAGAACAUCGGUGGCGAAGGCGGCCUGCUGGGCUGUUGCUGACGCUGAGGCGCGACAGCGUGGGGAGCAAACAGG